UCGCAUCUACCGAUUGGAUGGUCCGGUGAAGCCUCGGGAUUGGGGCCUGGUUCCUUCGUUGGGACCAGGCCGCGAGAACUUGUCUGAACCUUAUCAUUUAGAGGAAGGUG
rnacentral:rRNA from 1 species